UGGGGGAUAUUGCACAAUGGGGGGAACCCUGAUGCAGCGACGCCGCGUGGGUGAAGGAGUGCUUCGGCAUGUAAAGCCCUAUCGGCAGGGAAGAAGCAAGACGGUACCUGACUAAGAAGCCCCGGCUAACUACGUGCCAGCAGCCGCGGUAAUACGUAGGGGGCGAGCGUUAUCCGGAUUCACUGGGUGUAAAGGGAGCGUAGACGGCCAUGCAAGCCAGGGGUGAAAGCCCGGGGCCCAACCCCGGGACUGCCCUUGGAACUGCAUGGCUGGAGUGCGGGAGGGGCAGGCGGAAUUCCUGGU
rnacentral:rRNA from 1 species